UGUCACCUCGCCACAACCUCCUUUCAAACAGUUGUAGAAAGCGAAGAAGUCCCCCCUGAGCCUCCUCUUCUCCGAACUGGAUGAUCCCAGUUCCUUCAACUGCUCCCACAAGUCUUAUGUGUGAGUAGAGGGAUAACCCUGUGAUUUUUCUGCAAAUUUUGAACUUUUAAUACAGUACAAACAUUUUUAAAAGAACCAUCUUUUGUAUACUCAAAACAACAGAUAGAGAUGAGAGGUGGAAACCCCAGAUUUAAAUACCAGCUUUCCCUCUUAGGGCUUUUUUAUGGAUUUGUUGUUUCUGUUUUUCUAUAGGGAAGAAUUACAAUCACAUUUUACUAAGGAAGCAAAGUGAGUGUGAAGAUAAAAUAAACGUGUUGACUGGAAUUGUGCCUGAGGGGCAGAUACUUUGUUGGAUGGUGGCAGGCAAUGCCCCAGGUCUCAGCCUGGUUAGUCACCAACAAGGAAUACUCAGCAUGCACGUCAUUCAAUUAGCAUUUGAGAAUAGUUUUCUGUAGUUAAUUUUCCAUCUUUUUCUCCAGAAAUAUUUACACCUAGUAAACAAUUCUUUUUUCCUUGCAUAAAUCUCUUGAUCUGUUGUUUUUUCUUCCCCUCACAAAAUGAGGGUUAUGUAAGUAUCACCACUUACAAACGUGCUCUUCACUCACCAAAAUGCAUAAUCUCAUUCGUAAUAAUGGAAAUUGAGUUUAUGCAUCAAAAAAGGAAGAGACCAUAAGUAAUGUAAUUACAGCCUGUUAUUAAUUCUAUCGAAGCAGAAAUGAUGAUAGCUUUUUCUUUUAACCAGAAGCUGUGUUUCUGUGUUACUACAGAGAUAAUAGAAGGUACAUUCUAUUUUUAUGAGAGUCGUAACUAUAAUAUUUAGACUCCCAGAAGUCCUUACAACUCAUGGAUAUUGUGCCACUGAUAAUGCAGAUUUGCUCAUUACUGGAUAUCUUUUCAGUCUAGUUUUUAAAGCCAUCAGGAAAUUUCUUGAUUUUCAAUUUAUACAUUUUGUUGUUGGUGUUGUUGUUGUUGCUUAGCUUUAUUGCUGGUUUUAGUAAUAUUUUUUAGUUUUCUUUAGCGCUUUUAUGCACUAUACUAAGGACAAUGUAACCCACUUAUGCUAUCAAUAAAUCUGUAUAUCAUUCUUAUAUUUCUAUUUCAAUCCUUCUGCUGCUUUUCAGAAAAUAUGCACUCCUGCUGUGAUUAGUUCAUGUGAUAUAAACCUCAGCCAUCAGAUGUGACUGCAGACAGCUCAGUUACCACAAGUCAGAUUUGAUUAAAAUGUGUGAUAGGAUUUUUUCUUCCUUUAUGGUUAAGUUAUCCAUGUGUGGUUUUUUUGUUUGUUUGUUUUGUUUUUACUUGCAGGACUCUUGGCUACCAGCUUAAUCUCUGAAAAAUAACUCAUAUGUCCAGGUAGUCAAAGCAGUAGGCUUGAUGAUACAGCUUGGGCGAGAAAAGAAGAUUUUGAGCACUGUCCUGCUUCAUGAGUAAGGCUCUACUGCCCCAAUCUUGAUAAAUGAUGAACUCCUGGAAUCAGCUGCCAAUUGUCAGUGUCCCUUCUGUCCAUGGAAGAGCAGGUUCCCAAGUGGGAGUGCUUUACACGUCCUAAUUACGAUUGUCUCAACUUUUCAGAUAAAAUGAAGUCAGUGAAGUGCUUACAAGGUCUUCAUCGUCUCUUACUGGAUGAGAUUGUUCUAGAUAUUAGUUUGUUUAUUCAUGUUUCUUUACUGUCCUGUUUCUCUGUAAUAGUUCAAAGACACUAAAGGAAUGGUUUACAAAGACACUUGGAGCUGCAAGUCGUUUGUGUAUCCAAACUAGUUUGGUUGUAUGUGUUGUUGUGGUGGAAGCCCAUGGUAAUGACUUGCUUUCAGUUAGAAACAACCUUUUAAAAGUUGGUCUUUCAUUUCACUUUCUGUCAGCUUCUAACAAUUACAAGUACAGCAGGCAUUAGAAUAACUUACUGAAUUGCUGGUAGUUGUGGGACAGAAUGCAUUGAGCAUAUGUCCUGGUGAGAACUGCCUGGAAUUGCUUACUCUGUCUUCUAUUUUUAAUUUACUUACCAUAGUUCUAUGACAGAUGUCAAGGUCCUUGCAGAAUUACAAAAUGCCAUUAGUUUUAGCAUUAUAUCCACUGCUCAGGACUCACUGACAAGGAACAAGGAAGACAAGUAAGCAACUGCAAGCUCAGACUGCUUAUCGUAAUGUACUGCUCCGAUGUGCUUCAGAACUACCCACUGUUCCACCAACAGCCACAGGUUAAGAGUGGGUUGCACACCCUGCUGUCUGUGGCGGAAUGUCCAUUGCGGUGACAUCAGCUACAGAGGGACAGCCAACGUCAGGACCCUCAAGAGUUCUGAGUCUUCUCAAAGUCAUGCAGUUAUGGAUUUGUUGUGGAGAUGAAAGCAACUGGAACUAUGAUCCACAGGAAAACAAAGCUGAGCAUCAAAGUGAAAACAUAAAGAGCUGCCUUACAAAUUUUGUGUAACAUAUUCGCUCACUGCGCUGUUGCACACGUCUGCCAAAACCCAGAGGACUCUACAAAAUGGAACCCCUGACAGCUGCUGCAAGAGGAGAUCUUUGGAAAGAGCUGGAAGGACGCUGGCAGUGGCUGUGCAAGCGUAUAGACUUUUGGAGUCUUCUUUCUGUCAGAGUAAGUAGAGAAAAGCAAGUGAUCUUUUCCCAGUGUCUGUUUUUCCUUGCAGUUUCCCCAUAUGCCACGUUCUGUGAAAAAAGUUGUCCUGGACGAGAUCCUUAUUGCCAUUUUUCACUGAAGAUGCAUCCUCAUGUAUUCCUCCCAGUUUAAUAAUUGAAUAAAAUCCUAAAUGAGAACUUGCUAGGUAACUCUGAGUACUACCCUGCAAGAGCCAUGAAACAGAUUCUUAACCCCGCAGGAUUUUGUAACUUCUUGAAGGAAAAAUCCAUGUACCGUCUUGUGCAGUGAGCUGGAGAGUUAGACAAAAGGACCUGUGAAUGGCACAUCUUCUGUGCUGGUCCCAGCGUGAGGCUUAUUUCUGGAGUUCACACCAGACACAGGUGGUGCCCAUCUUUAAGAAAAUAAGCGUGUAAUAAUCUCCUUCAUCAUGACUUUCUCUGAGAAAACUGUGUCACUGCACAGUCGAGUCACAUAGGCAAUUAUUGCCAUGCAGACUGCUUUAUAGCAAUGUGUAGGCUGCAUCCCAUGCCCUUAAUAGUCCUUUGCAGAGUGUUUUUAAAUAUACAACCAUUGCAGUCAUUGAGAUUUCUGUCUAUCUAUAGUUUUUAAUUACUCUGACGGUUAUGUAGCUUUAUUUUAAGACAAAAUUUUAUUAGCAUUUGGGAUAAUAUAGUAAGAUUUUCAUUUAUUGUUUUUUGUUGUUGACACGGUUUUGUUAAUCAAUGUCAUAA